AUCAAACCUGGAGCCAAACGCGGCGCUGGGGUUUCCAGGGCUACAUUUGACCUCUCCCUGGAGAGCCAGUUACCAAGUGUGAUUUCCUCUCCGGUGUCCCACCGGAGCAAAUAAGGGGAUAAUAGAGCUGCAUUCUUGGUACCCGACUUUCCUCUGCCUCUCCAGGAGAAAUCAGAAUUUCUGUAACGGGAUAGGACCAAAAAGAAAGUGGAAGGAAGCCAGGGGCUGGUGAAGGGCUGGAAGGGUUGCAUUGUUUUUCUAUGCUGGCCGGAGAGGUAGAGUUAAGUUCCCCGGGAAGGAUACCUGGCCCAAAACAGCACAGUCUGUGAACUCGUUGUCCAAAGGUGGCCGGGAGAACGCUGUGUGCUUAGUUAGUAUUAAUAUCCGUCAGGUGGAGAGGACCCUUGGUGGGACUUUCUGUGUCCUGACCAGGCCUAGGCUGAUUUCAGCAGAACUCCUAGAGCACUCCGGAACUCAAGGACUUCAUUGUUCUUUGCACCGAGUUCUUUUACUUAAUCUGCAGGCCUCUCCUGGUUGAAGGGAGGAGGAAUGAGAUACAGGGUAUGAAACGGCAGAUCCCCCCUAAAGCUGAAUCACCAAGUGUCUGGAAGGUCAUUCAACUAAUGGACCCUCACUGCCCUCCAGACUGGGAGAAAGAUUGUCCCUGUCCUCGAAGAGUUCCCAGACGGGGAGAGACGCAGCCAGGUGUUUCAAAAUAGUAGCGAACCGUGGCAAGUGCAGCCGUGGGGACGGGUGCAAGAUGCUGCAGGUGCAGUGAGUCCGGACUAACUGACAAGGACUGAAACCAAGCUCCUUUCACAACACGUGUCAGUCAAAUCAUUAUGCUACGUAUACCUUAAACAUAUACAGGACAGCAUGUCAAUUAUUUCUCAGUAAAACGGGGGGGAAAGCUAA